rnacentral:tRNA from 1 species
UCGCCUAAAGCUUAUGGUUGAAGCGUCUCCCUGAAGUCGAGAAGAAGGGCCCCUGGCGGCCUUAGGUGAA